GCCUCGGUAGCUCAGAGGGUUUUUGAGUCCUGAUCAUAAGGUCGUAGGUUCAAGUCCUGCCCGAGGCG
rnacentral:tRNA from 1 species